UUAUCUCGUCGGUGUCGGUGACCAUGGUAAGAAACUUCAAGAGAGAGAGACACUUUCCGGUAAUGAACUUCGCGACGCUGUUACAUUCAGGUCUGAAGAGAUUGUAACCCGUUAUCAUUGAUACAUUCAUUAUCUGACACAAGAGUGUAUGAUAAGUUAAGUUCGGCAAAUGCAGAACAUUAAAACAAGAAGAAACGCAUCGGAGCGCAGUGAUACGGCCCUGAGGAUCCGCGGUCGAGACGAACAUACGACAUAGACGUGUAUUUGCAGUGUGGUUGCGCACCCACUGUCAUGCGCUGGUUGGGGGUAGAAUCUUUCUGUUCUUACGGGUAUAAAGAGAAGCAGUGAGAGUUGAAGAGAGAAAGAGAGAGAGAGAGAGAGAGAGA